CCCUAAACAUGGAGCCUCCAUCAGGUCCAACAAACCUCCAGAGCCAGUCCAGUGCCCGGUGGCGCCUUCUGUUGGCGGUUCCAGUUUUGGGAAACUUGUAGCUCCACCCACCAUCCCCACCACCUGGCAGGUUCCACCUGGGGGUGGCAUCAUCACCACACUGAUGGACAACACCCCACCUCCUCCUCCUCUGGCAGAGAAUGAGAUGCCACCUCAGGAGGAUGAGGUCAUAAACUCCUCUGGCCCACCCCCUCCACCUCCUCUUCCUGAUUUGUCACGAGAGAUAUUGGCACCACCCCCUCCUCCCCCUCCUUCAGAGGCUUUGACCAACCACAGCUCUCUGUCUUCUGCUCCCCCUCUGGCCCCGCCCAUCGGUCUUGA